AUUGAACGCUGGCGGCAUGCUUUACACAUGCAAGUCGAACGGUAACAGGCCGCAAGGUGCUGACGAGUGGCGAACGGGUGAGUAAUGCAUCGGAACGUGCCCAGUCGUGGGGGAUAACUACUCGAAAGAGUAGCUAAUACCGCAUACGAUCUAUGGAUGAAAGCGGGGGACCGUAAGGCCUCGCGCGAUUGGAGCGGCCGAUGUCAGAUUAGGUAGGUGGUGGGGUAAAGGCUCACCAAGCCAACCAUCUGUAGCUGGUCUGAGAGGACGACCAGCCACACUGGGACUGAGACACGGCCCAGACUCCUACGGGAGGCAGCAGUGGGGAAUUUUGGACAAUGGGCGCAAGCCUGAUCCAGCAAUGCCGCGUGCAGGAAGAAGGCCUUCGGGUUGUAAACUGCUUUUGUACGGAACGAAACGGCUCUGGUUAAUACCCGGGGCUAAUGACGGUACCGUAAGAAUAAGCACCGGCUAACUACGUG
rnacentral:rRNA from 1 species